rnacentral:rRNA from 1 species
UACGAAGGGGGCUAGCGUUGUUCGGAAUCACUGGGCGUAAAGGGCGCGUAGGCGGCUGUUCAAGUCGGGGGUGAAAGCCUGUGGCUCAACCACAGAAUUGCCUUCGAUACUGGACGGCUCGAGACCGGAAGAGGUCAGUGGAACUGCGAGUGUAGAGGUGAAAUUCGUAGAUAUUCGCAAGAACACCAGUGGCGAAGGCGGGUCUCUGGACAGUUCCUGACACUGAGGCACGAAGGCCAGGGGAUCAAACAGG